UUUUGAGCAUUCCUAAUCACCCCGCCUUUCGCCCUCACUCUUUUUCUCGGUUCUUCUUCUCUUUUUAUCUAGUAGACUAGACAUCUUUAUGUCUUAUAUUACUCUAUGUAAUAGAUGUUUUGAUGUUAUCUGAGGCCUGUUACAAUUGACAUUUAUCAUUCUUUAUUAAUAUUUCUCUGUGUUUAUAUAUACUAUGCUUUCUGUGUCAUUAAACUAAGAAGCUUUCACUGAACUAUGGUGUCGGUGGGACUUUUUCCUGGGCCCAGACGAGAGGAAAUCAGCCAGAGCAGGGUUCAAAUUCUGGUUCUGACUGGUAUCGGACAAAGAACUUAACAGUUUCCUGGUGUCAGAACCGAGGAUAUUUGGAUGAAGGGGCCAUCGUCGUCUUGACGCGGUCUUGCCACUGGAUAAUGGUGGUCACCAGGAAGUGAGAAUGAGGCCGAUGCUGCGCAAGUCUUCCUCACUAUAAUCCAAUUCACGCGCAACUCGAGUCCCAGUGUGUGUUCUCCAUAAUGGAGGCAGAAAUGGAAACUUCGGUCUCGUCGAAAUCGACGGACGAACUCCUGUGUGUGUGUCAUAUUUUUUGGUUGGACGUGUGUGUGUGUCAUAUUUUUGGUUGGAUGUGCAUGGAAAUUCAUUAUUUAUUAUUUCAUCAGCCUUAUGUAUGUAUGUAUGUGGGGGGGAACGCAACAGAUUACAACAAACCUUUAUUAUAUAAACCAUUAUCCAUGUUUGACCUUCACCUCUUAAGAUAAUGACAUAAGUGUAGACCAUAUGUAAUAUUAUCUUUAGUGUACAUCUCUCAACAUAAUUAUGACUGAUGAUGAUGACUUUUGACCUGCCAAGAUAAUUAUAAUUGCUGAUGACCUUUGACCUAGACCUGUCAAAACCAAUUAAUGAUAUGGACCAUACAAACCAAACUUCUCUCUUAUGAGUGUGUGUGUGUAUGGGUGAAUGAGACACAGUGUAAAGUGCUUUGGAUAAAAGCGUUAUAUAAGUGCAGACCAUCUUUGGGGGCAUUAGCGAUUCCAUAGUUCUAGUGUGUGAUGCUGGGAAAUGUAGUCCAGAAGUUCUCGUAGUAAAAAAUAAAUAAAUUUUAAAAAGUGACACUGAAGUUCAGAUAGACAUCUUGUGUGUAUUAUUUUUAGUUAAUACAUCACAUUUAUAAACACACUCCCGGCAUGUCAGAACUCCUGACCAUCUUGAUAUCAUGUUUUAUCACAAAUUUGUUGUCAUUCCGUCUUCUCCUUUCAACCUACUAGGUAGAGAUUUAAUGUUUAAACUGAAGUGCUCUCUUACAAUGCAUGAUGGUAGAUUCACUCUGUUAGCUCCAUCUAAUCUGUGUUUCUCUUCGGUCUGCCAUGUGGGUGAUGAUGCGCAUGACACUGACUGCACGGAACAUCCGCUGCCUGAAGCAUUAGAGGCGGUGCCUAAAACUUUAUGGUAUACUAAUGAAAGCAUACUAAUAAAGGGGGCCUCAUUAAGAGUUCUGCAUGCGUGCUUCGAGGAGCCCGCACCUGAAGCUUGGUUGGAAAAUGUUUGACUGUUUGACCUACAUACAUGACUCAUCACUCUGCUCUGAUCUGUCACAGCAUCCCCUGGAAGGAGGGAAUGAAAUAUAUGUUGAUAUCAGUGUUAUAAACCUAAUGACUCACUCUAUUCCCUUUAAUUCUGCUCAGGCUGCGGAACUUUCUCACACAUGCUUGGCAUCAACUUAAGGGUAAGACUGUUACUAUUUACACUGAUUCACAUUGUGCUUUCAGUGUUGCACAUGAUUUUGGUAAGAUAUGGCAUGCUCAUGGUUUUUUGCCACUGAUGGUACACCUAUAACGCAUUCCAUGCUUGUUUCUGAUCUUUUAGAAGCCUCGCUUUUACCUGACAGGCUUGCUAUUGUUAAGGUUAAAGGUCAUGACUUCUCUAACGCAGAACAGGCCUGUGGUAAAUUAACUCACUGAUGAAAUAGUUAGGUGGGCCUUUGAAAGAGGGCUUGUCCAGCCCCUUUGUCCAGAAUAAUGUCUCCAUUUUUCACGUUUUCACAUUAUCUGACUCCUUGUGACAUUGAUGUCGCUUUCUUACAGACACAGGCCUCUCCAGAGAACCUCAUGUUUUGGUCCUCAGAAGGUUGUUCCCCAUUGCACACCGAUGGUUUAAUACACUGCCUGAUGGCCAUCUCACUCUUCCGUCUUCUGUCCUUCCAUUCUAAAGAGGGGUGAUCUCUUCGAUAAAAUCGAGGUUUUGUAUUCGAGACACACAGUGCACGGUGGCUUAGUGGUUAGCACAUUUGCCGCACACCUCCAGAGUCCGGGGUUUGAGUCCCAUCGGGGCCAUGUGUGUGGAGUUUGCAUGUUCUCCCCAUGCUGCGGGGGUUCCCUCCGGGUACUCUGGUUUCCUCCCCCAGUCCAAAGACAUGCAUUGUAGGCAGAUUGGUGUGUCUAAAGAGUGCGUAGUGUAUGAAUGGGUGUGUGAGUGUGUAUGUGAUUCUGCCCUGUGAUGGACUGGCACCCUGUCCAGGGUGUACCCUGCCUUGUGGCCUAUGCUCCUUGGGAUAGGCUCUAGGUUCCCCGUGACCCUGAAAAGGAGUAAGCGGUAGAAGAUGGAUGGACUUUCCAUGCUCAAAGGAAAAUGCCAAUACCAUGGUUAAAAUUCUUGCAAAAGAAAUUUAAAGUUAAAUAAAAAUAAAAAAAAUUACUUAUAGUGACAAUGGGACACCUUUUGUUUCCAAGGUAACACAGAAAUUGUGCAAGUAUCUGAACAUUGAUUGGCACUUUCAUAUUCCAUAUCAUACCCAGAGCUCAAGGAUUGUGGAAAGAAAAAAUCCCAGCAUUAAGGAAUGCCUUAAUAAGGGGCUCUUAGAGAACCCCUCAAGUAAUUGGGUGGAUUUAUCACCUGCCGUCUUAGGCAAGCUUCGCAUGACUCCUAAUCAGAUAACUAAAUUGUCUCCUUUGGAGAUCAUUAUGGGCAGACCAUUUCCCACUCCAUGGACUAAGGGUAACCCAAUUACAGGUAAUCUGGAAGUGA